UGAGGAAUAUUGGUCAAUGGGCGAGAGCCUGAACCAGCCAAGUAGCGUGCAGGAUGACGGCCCUAUGGGUUGUAAACUGCUUUUAUAUGGGAAUAAAGUGAGGGACGUGUCCCUUAUUGCAUGUACCAUACGAAUAAGGACCGGCUAAUUCCGUGCCAGCAGCCGCGGUAAUACGGAAGGUCCAGGCGUUAUCCGGAUUUAUUGGGUUUAAAGGGAGCGUAGGCCGUUUGGUAAGCGUGUUGUGAAAUGUAGGAGCUCAACUUCUAGAUUGCAGCGCGAACUGUCAGACUUGAGUGCGCACAACGUAGGCGGAAUUCAUGGUGUAGCGGUGAAAUGCUUAGAUAUCAUGACGAACUCCGAUUGCGAAGGCAGCUUACGGGAGCGCAACUGACGCUAAAGCUCGAAGGUGCGGGUAUCGAACAGG
rnacentral:rRNA from 1 species